rnacentral:rRNA from 1 species
UGGGGAAUAUUGGACAAUGGGCGAAAGCCUGAUCCAGCCAUGCCGCGUGUGUGAAGAAGGUCUUCGGAUUGUAAAGCACUUUAAGUUGGGAGGAAGGGCAUUAACCUAAUACGUUAGUGUUUUGACGUUACCGACAGAAUAAGCACCGGCUAACUCUGUGCCAGCAGCCGCGGUAAUACAGAGGGUGCAAGCGUUAAUCGGAAUUACUGGGCGUAAAGCGCGCGUAGGUGGUUUGUUAAUUUGGAUGUGAAAUCCCCGUGCUCAACCUGGGAACUGCAUUCAAAACUGACUGACUAGAGUAUGGUAGAGGGUGGUGGAAUUUCCUGUGUAGCGGUGAAAUGCGUAGAUAUAGGAAGUAACACCAGUGGCGAAGGCGACCACCUGGACUAAUACUGACACUGAGGUGCGAAAGCGUGGGGAGCAAACA